AGUAACAGAACAAUGGAUUAUGUCUAACACUUCCUCUCUAGCAAAUACCAUGAAGGUUGGGCGGAUGUUAACCCUCUAAUACCCAAAUUUUUGAUUUUGAUCUAAAUAUCAUUUUUCGUCAUGUUUAAACGAUUAAUUUAAUCGAUUCAAACAUGUGUUGGAAGGUGAUUCUUUUUAAUUCUCGAUUUCGUGAAUUUCAGUAUUUGAUUUUUCUAAUUUUUAUUUUUGAACAUCCCCACAAUUUUAUAAUUUUCCUGGAAGCCUAUUUGGGGUACGGAUUUUUUCAGAUGAAAACAUUUUGAGAUUAUAUGAUUAUUGUUGAAAUAUUUUUAUUUUAAAUUUUUUUCAUAGAAAAUUUUAUUUUCCGUGUAAUUUUAAGGAAAAUAAUUUUAGAGUGUAUUAGAUUCCCUUAAACUAUAAAACUACGAUAGAAUGACAUGAGAAAAAAUUAAAAUAUGUUAAUUGUAGCGAUUCAAUACAAAAUAAACAAUAACUUCUAGAAGGUAACUAUAACAUCAAUUUUUCAAUGAUUUUAAAAAAAUGUAAAAGCGAUUUAGAAUACACCAGAGGGCCCAUACAGCCGAGGCGGUAAACGCACGGGUAUUCAGCAUGACCAUGCUUCAUUGAAAAAUGUGCAGAAGCAUUUGGGCCUCCGGUUUGCCUACUGUUUAACCUAUCCCUGGAACAAGGCGUUUUUCCGGAUGUAUGGAAAUUGUCGUCAGUCAUUCCUAUACACAAAUCGGGCAGAAUUCAUAAUGUAGAAAACUACCGUCCAAUAUCGAUACUAUGUUGCUUAGCUAAAAUCCUGGAGCUUCUUAUUCAUGAUAGAAUGUAUUCAGCCGCAAAACCGAUAUUUUCCGAGUUUCAGCAUGGCUUUGUGAAAAAUCGCUCAACCGUAACGAACCUCAUGAGCUACACGAGCUUGUUGAAUACCAGCCUUGAAAAACAUUGCCAAGUAGAUAGCAUCUAUAUAGAUUUUGCGAAAGCUUUCGAUAAAGUACCGCACGCCUUAACGCUGGAAAAGCUUGAGAAAUAUCCCUCAGUGGCUCAUAGCUUGGUUACGUUCUUAUCUAACUGGUAGAUCCGCUUUCGUUAAACUGAACUCCGCAAAAUCUGACAUUUACACCACGCCUACCGGAGUGCCUCAGGGAAGCCAUCUGGGCCCGUUAAUAUUCAUCCUGUUUGUUAAUGACCUCUGUCACCGUAUAAGUUCUCACCGCUUUAUGUUCGCAGACGACUUGAAAAUGUAUAGGAUCAUCAGUUCCGUCGUCGACUGCAUUGCUCUGCAGCAGGACAUCGAUACCGUAGAUAGCUGGUGUGUAUCUAAUGGUAUGCUGUUGAACGCCGGGAAAUGCAAAAUAAUAAGCUUCCGAAGAUCUAGGCCUCUAAUUAGCUUUGAAUACACCAUAGACGGAGACAAAAUUGAACGUGUUGAAUCUAUAAAAGAUCUCGGAGUGAUUAUGGAUUCAAAGCUAAAGUUCAACGAACAUAUAUCUCUGACAACGGCUAAAGGUUUCUCGCUGCUAGGCUUCGUUUGUCGUAAUGCCGCCGAUUUUGAUGACGUGUACGCUCUCAAAACCUUGUAUAGCUGUUUUGUGCGUAGUGUACUCGAAUAUGCUGUGCCAGUUUGGGCACCAUAUCAUGAAACUCAGAUACAACGUUUAGAACGAGUUCAACGCAGUUUUUUGAGGUUUGCACUAAGAAGGCUUCCAUGGAAUGGCCCGCGGAGACUACCACAAUACGAACAACGAUGUCAGCUGAUACGACUGGAAACUCUUCGUGAAAGACGUAAGUUCCUACAGAUGAUGUUCGCAUUCGAUAUUUUAUGUGACCGUUUAGACUGUCCAGAUCUUCUACAUCAAGUCAAUUUCCAUGCUCCGGCUCGUCGUUUAUGUCACCGACAAUUGUUCUGGGUUGCUCGGCAUUCCACAGCGUAUGGUCAGCAUCACCCGUUUGAGAGAUGCGUUUGCUUAUUAAACAGUGUACCGUUGUUUGAUUUUAAUUUAACUAGAACGACUUUUAAAACUAGGAUUAGGCAAUUAAUUUAAGUAACCAAACAAUCUGUACAGCUAUAGCUGAAGAUGAAGUUAAUAAAAUAAAAAUAAAUGCUGAGGGUGACGGGUUCGAUUCCCGGUCGGUCCAGGAUCUUUUCGUAAAGGAAAUUUCCUUGACUUCCUUGGGCAUAGAGUAUCUUCGUGCCUGCCACACGAUAUAUGCAUGCAAAAUGGUCAUUGGCAGAGGAAGCUCUCAGUUAAUAACUGUGGAAGUGCUCAUAGAACACUAAGCUGAGAAGCAAGCUUUGUCCCAAUGAGGACGUUACGCCAAGAAGAGAGAGAGAAUACACCAAAAACCAUUUUGAGAUAUACAAAACAGUCCUAAAUAUCAGCCAAAAAUAUAAAAAUUUUGAUUUUUUACGAAACAAAUAUUAUAAAAAUGCUCAAACUAUACCCCGUCUAAAGGCGGGGUUGGGUAUUAGAGGGUUAAGUAAUCCAAGAUCUAUACGACUUGAGAACUCCAUCAAACUGGAGCCUCUCAAGUCAAUGUCUGAGCUGAUGAAGAUGAUAUGAUGAGCAAGAGCAUUCCUGCCAACAAUUAGCGGAAGGCCUUUUAAACUGCAGUUUGCGAUUACUUGUUUCGUAGGAGCAUUCGUAGAAGAUAGUUCAUCAUGCGCUAUUUAAACUGAACAACAGACGUAUUUCCUGUUGAGGAUUUCGACAGAUACAUCAACAAUGAUAACACAUACAGGGUGUUAGGUUCCUGAGUGCAAACUUUUUAAAGUGUGAUAGAGAACCAUAAAUGAUGAAAAAAAAUGUUCUACGCAUAUGGUCAAAUCUCACCCGUUACGUAGUUAUUGAACUUCCCAUGUUUUUAACUCUUAUUGCCUUAACUGGCUAUAACUUGAAAAUGGUCAAUGUUAUCGCAGUUUUUUACCCUUAUUCGAAAGAUUAUUGAAUUUUCUAUCAAAUAGCACCUUUGAAUCGAUUGGUUUAGUUAAAUAACUAAGUUUUCUAGAGCAAAUAGCUCAAAAGUAGCGUGUUUUAUUUUGUUUUCGUCAAUUAUCUUUGAAAAAUGUGUAAUAAUUUAAGAUUAUUUCUUAGACAAAGUUGUGGCCCCUGUUUCACUCUACAAUUCGUUCUCUGACAUCAAACUUCUAUCUCUUAUCGUUUUUUUUGCAAUUUCGAUUUAAAUAUCGCAUUUCAGAUCAUAAAUUUGCAACUGUCAUGGUUAGCACUUUUUUGAGCACUGUGCCGCACAUAAUCAAAAUCAAAAUCAAUAAUAAUAAAAAAUAUGGGAAGUUCAAUAACUACGCAACGGUUGAGUUUUGACCAUGUGCGUAGAACAAUUUGUAUCACCAUUUAGGGUCCUCUAUCACCCUUUAAAAAGUUUGCACUCAUGAACCUAACACCCUGUAUAUCUCUGGUGGUUAUUUCAAACACGAGUGUAGCAACAAUUGCGUUGUUGGCAAGGACACAUGCUCGAGGCAUGGCACGUAAGGUAGGUAUUUCAUUUCCACUGAAAGUAGCAAACACCGGGUUUACAAAUUUUCCUAGAUAGAAACUCCCCUAACGAAAGCAAGAUUCUGGUGCUAAAGCCACCUGUGCUGUCGCAUAUUGGCAUCUAGGAUGGGACGUAAUAAAUCAAACGCCCACACGAAGAUGUUCCCACGGCUCUUGUUCCUCUUCUAGUCCUAUUGGGGUCCAUUAUAAUAAGUUGCUGUUAUCUAAUAUCCAAGUGUGCGGGUCCGUUAGAGCAUAUGCUCAGAAGAGGAUCAGAUGUCAGCCGCUCUCGAGGAGAAGAGCAACUGACGAAAAACUGCAAGUGUCGGGGCUCGGAUUCAAUCCAUGACCAUCCACAUAUGAAAGAAACGUGUGAGCACUACACCAGAAACCUCGGCUUGGAUGAGAAUUGACUGAGUUAUAGCAAAAAAUCGACACGUGCAAAAAAUAAAAUCGGGAUGAAAAUUCUCGAUCGAGUCAAAUUACAGUCACUAGUCUGGUGGACAGAACUAUCAGAACCAAUUGAAAUUGACAUUUCGAGUGAGCCUGAAUAUGAGGGGAUUAUUGUAUUCGUAAAGAUAAUAAAUUUAUGUUUUAAAAAUACAAAGUCUGCUGAAAGCUUGAACUUUUUAUAGUGUUGGCAGUAUAUACUUCAGUUGCCAGUUCUUUAGAUUUUUUAUUAGCCAGACUGUACAUAUAGUGACUGUAAGUCAAACCAGAUAUUUGAGCAUUGAUUCGUACGUUUGGUCAAAUGUUUGAGCAUCUUUAGUAAAAUUUAAUCAGCAUGAAACUAUCACUAGAAAUAUACCUAUGAUGUAAAAUUACCUAAAUGAAAUUCCACAUGCCGUGUACUGACCACACACAGCCAAUCAGCUGUGCACAAAACAACCGGCAAACAAUAAACAAACAAAAAUUUACGUGGCACGCUCACUUCUCAACACCUUGCCCAGCUCUGCCACCAAACGGUGCAAUAAUUCACGCACUACCAUUGCGGGCUGGUUGGAAACAGCCCGAGGGGAACAUUCGAAGCUCGAUCCAAUCGACAAAAUGGUGCAAUGCGUUUUAUGAUUCGACGAAGGUAGGUAUGUACCUCCAACAGCCGCACUUCUUGGCAGUGACCAAAUUGGGUGGCUGUUGAUGGGCUCCAGCAGAAAUGGAUGGGGCGCAUAUUUUCAAUGCCAACUCGUGUUUGCCUGAUUAGCACGUGUGGGGCCACAUAUUCGGAGCUGGACUGGACAUGUGUUUAUGGGCGUGUAAAUCGUGAGAAGUGGGUCUCGGUGCACUGCGCUGGCUGGUGCGCAUUACAUUAUGAAUUGCAUCGUUUCGCUCUGUGGUCAGCUGAUUCGCGAAGAAAUCAGAGUAAUUCAAAAACACAAAGUGUUAAAUUGCAAUAGGCUAUUUGAAGAUGAUAAACAUGGAGGUAAAAAUCGGCUAUGCGUAAGUUAAAUAGGCGCAUUGUGUUUGAAUCAUGCAUCCGUUGAUUUGAGAGCUUAAUCUGAUAUGCUGAAAAACUUUGUCGAAGAUCACGAAAUAAUCUAAAAAGUUAUACCGUAGUGACAUAAACCCUUAAAUGUUAUUGAAAGCCAGGUAUAUCUUAUUAUUUCGUAAAAUUUAGGUACUUAAUUUCUGUUGUCUAUUUGUUCAAGCUUUGAAACCACUGAAUACAAUAAUCGACAAUCAAUUUACAAUGUCAAAUCCUUGGUCAAAUCACACCCUCUAAAACUAAAGCUCCGCGCACGCCACCAAUGAAAAGUUCAACGAACGGACUCCACAGCUAUACGCCAUCAGACGAUCGCCGAUUUCAUUGGCAUUGCACAGCACGGGCUGUGACAUAAUCUAACAAUCCAUUUAUUCCACCACGUUUGCAGCUCGUUUUCCCUUGGCAUCCUGUCCGCUUUCAGAUUUGCACCGCUACCCCUUAUAAGCCAGUCUACAAGUUCCCUUGAGUCUUGGUUCGUCACUGCACGGAAUGUGAUUUCAGUGUCACCUGACAGACGCAGUGACCGGCUGGGCUGAGCAUUCGCCUGAAGGCAGGUGGUGCCGCCAAUGUGGCAUGCGUGAAAACAAAACAAAAACCCACUGACACAGUUUGGAGCGGAAACAUUUCGUCUGAUCACCAACGCCCAAUAAUGUAAAAGAAGGAAUAGACGUGGAAAAAAGAUGCAUUACACACUUAUUUAAGAAUUACGAGUUCGGUAACUAUUUUUACUGGGCUCGAACUGUUAAACAAUGAUUUGGCGACAAAUCAGCAUUUUUGUUUGAAAAGAUACCGAACUUCAGUAAUGUGUUCUACAUUUUACUGAGUUCGGUUAUUUGAGUCGCUUGUUACCCGGUAAUUUUCAUAUUACACCGAAAAGGGGGAAAAAGUCAGUGAAAUCAACUACCGAUUUUCAGUCAUCAUUGCUCCUGUACCGAGUUUUCGCCAAUGUAAACGAAAACAAACUGCUGCUCUCACGGGCAGCUGUCAAACAUCCAUUCAUCAUCAUUUUCCAGGAGCAGGAGCAGCAAAAUUGUUAUCGAACUCAAUUUUGCCGUCCAUAGUAGCAGAAGACUUGAUCUUUUCAUCAUCCCGUCAACUCACAGGUAAGGAAUACAGAUUCUGCGACGAAUUAAUGGAGAAGGUUAUUAUGCAGGACUAGAUCAGGGAAGAUACUGCAAUGUGAGGCUUCUCCCGUGUGGUUCAAAGAUGGAUUUCCCUACACACUUUAGCACCAGCAGCAUCGCGGAUCUAGUUUUGUUCAACCACUUUCGUAAAUCCGUCGCAGAUUCUGUACUGUCCUCCCAAGAGCUGACAAAGAUUUAAAAAGACGGUCAUUUUGCCGGCAUUCAUGACUAUCCGCAAUGUACCUUUGCAAAAAUGAUUAAAUAACACAAAAUGCGAGGGAGUGCGAGGUACGGGCAAGUAUUGUGAAACUGGGAAACUCGGUAGUCAGCUGUAAACAAAUGAAUAACUGAGAGUCAGUAAAUUUCCCCAACAAAAAUUACUGACUAGCUCAGUUAUUAUUUGACAGAUGAUCAACUUUUCAAUUUACAUACUCUUCGGUAAUUCAAAAAAAUACCGAAUAGUCAGCAGUUCAAAAACCCAGUAAAAUUUUACCGAAGUCGGUAAUCUAAACUAGCUGUGUAGCUUUAUUUGUUUGACUUUAUGUGGUUACUGACCUUCACAGCGAAAGUAGAAUGUCUCAAGACUUUACAACAGAUAAAUGGUGUUGAGAUGGGCUUCUAGUUUACCUGAAAUGGUUGUUGUGCGAAAAAAACGCCACAUAAUUGAGCAGAUUAGAAUUCAAAUUAUCAUCAAUCAUUUCAUUUUGAACUUUUAUGGGUCACCAGCUAGCAGCAAUUAGGAAAUUGAGUAUUUUUGAAUGCCCCCAAGUGGGGUCUGAAAAUUUUUGGCAGAUACCUGAGCACACUCAUAAUGAAACUCUUGCCACGUAAGUGAUAAGUUUUUAGCAGAAAUAUUAUUUUUAAUUUAUUUUAUCUGUAUGAACGAGAUUUUUAACUCUAGCUAGUUCAUCUUUACUUCUCUUCAGAAGGAAGAACUCACAUUUUGCGAGUUUGUCGGAAGUGGGAUUCGAUCACAGGUCCUCGGCGUGACAGUCACGUGUUUCAACCACCACACCAGGUCCACUCCUCUUUUUAGCAGAUUCCUUACGAGAACCUCGAAAAACUUUUGCGUGAUGAUGUUAUUUUUGUAGUUUUUAAAAGAUGUUUUACCAUUUCCGUUUCCGAAGAAAUCUCUGCAAAAAAUACAUACAAAAUCAUUGGAAGCUUCGCUUUGAGAUCUUUUGCAUACUUUUGACAAGGUACUUGGUAAAUUUCUUCUUGAUUUUCUCUAACCUACUCAUCAGAUCGGAAAAGAUUCCUUUGAAAUCCUUAACCCAUUUUUAGAAUCUACACACUUAUUUUAGAUUUAGAAGUUCGGUAUUUUUUUCAACUGGGCUCGAACUGUAAACCACUCAUUUGGCGACAACCCGGGAGCUACUUGACAGCUGCCGAACAACGUCAGCGUACCUAAAAAAUUUGGUCCGGGUGGUACUGUCAGAUUCAAAGCGGCAAGUGCUACUUUUGAUAAGGACGAAAACCGACAAUAACAAACCGAACAAAAAAUAUUAAAACAUUAAACAUUUGUUGUUUCCGCUUUUUUGUGGUAGGUAAAUGCAAAUUAAGUGCGGCAUGAUGAAUUUGUUUACUAGAAGCGAAAAUUAUAUCUAUAAAACAAGUAAAGGCAAAAUAGUCGGCUUUUAUAAAAUUAAUAAGAAACUCAUGUUUUCUUCUAGCGCGGUUAUUAAGCACCAGCAAGUAAUAAAUUAGGUUACUUAUGCUAACAUUUUACAGCUACAUAUCUGGUGGCCAAUCCAAAAUGGAAGUUAAAAAUAAUCAUUUUCAGAUUUUUUUUUUCGAGUUUGAUCUUCGGCUUGGUCUAGCAUGCACAGUCACCAAUUAAUAUGGAAGACCGUUUAAACAUGUGUUUUUAUUAUAUUUUUUACAACAACAAAAAGAAAAAUCAAAAUAAUUUCAAUUUAAUGAA